rnacentral:rRNA from 1 species
CCUACGGGGGGCAGCAGUGGGGAAUAUUGGGCAAUGGGCGCAAGCCUGACCCAGCAACGCCGCGUGAAGGAAGAAGGCUUUCGGGUUGUAAACUUCUUUUCUGGGGGACGAACAAAUGACGGUACCCCAGGAAUAAGCCACGGCUAACUACGUGCCAGCAGCCGCGGUAAUACGUAGGUGGCAAGCGUUAUCCGGAUUUAUUGGGUGUAAAGGGCGUGUAGGCGGGAAAGCAAGUCAGAUGUGAAAACUCAGGGCUCAACCCUGAGCCUGCAUUUGAAACUGUUUUUCUUGAGUGCUGGAGAGGC